rnacentral:sRNA from 1 species
GCCUUGACAACCAUUAGAUUGCCUGGGGCCGGGCAGCUCGGAGACUACAUUUCCCAGAGGGCCCCGCAUCCCGCGGGACGGAAGGGGAAGCGACUCGGGUGCAGUGCGCAGGCGUGAGAGCGUUCCCCUGGUUAUAUAAGAGAGGU